rnacentral:rRNA from 1 species
UACGGAGGGUGCAAGCGUUAUCCGGAUUCACUGGGUUUAAAGGGUGCGUAGGCGGGCAGGUAAGUCAGAGGUGAAAUCUCCGGGCUCAACCCGGAAACUGCCUUUGAUACUAUCUGUCUUGAAUAUGGUGGAGGUAAGCGGAAUAUGUCAUGUAGCGGUGAAAUGCUUAGAGAUGACAUAGAACACCUAUUGCGAAGGCAGCUUACUACGCCUAUAUUGACGCUGAGGCACGAAAGCGUGGGGAUCAAACAGG